rnacentral:rRNA from 1 species
ACGAACGCUGGCGGCGUGCUUCACACAUGCAAGUCGAACGGUGAAGGGAUCAGCUUGCUGGUUCUGGAUGAGUGGCGAACGGGUGAGUAACACGUGAGUAACCUGCCCCCUUCUUCUGGAUAACCGCAUGAAAGUGUGGCUAAUACGGGAUAUUCUGCGCCUGCUGCAUGGUGGGUGUGGGAAAGAUAUUGUUUCGGUGGGGGAUGGGCUCGCGGCCUAUCAGCUUGUUGGUGGGGUGAUGGCCUACCAAGGCGGUGACGGGUAGCCGGCCUGAGAGGGUGGACGGUCACACUGGGACUGAGACACGGCCCAGACUCCUACGGGAGGCAGCAGUGGGGAAUAUUGCACAAGGGGCGCAAGCCUGAUGCAGCGACGCCGCGUGAGGGAGGGAGGCCUUCGGGUUGUGAACCUCUUUCGCCAGUGAAACAGGCCUGUCCCUUGUGGGUGGGUUGACGGUAGCUGGAGAAGAAGCGCCGGCUAACUACGUG